rnacentral:rRNA from 1 species
GACGAACGCUGGCGGCGUGCUUAACACAUGCAAGUCGAACGCUGAAGCUUGGUGCUUGCACUGGGUGGAUGAGUGGCGAACGGGUGAGUAAUACGUGAGUAACCUGCCCUUGACUCUGGGAUAAGCCUGGGAAACUGGGUCCAAUACUGGAUACGACAUGUCACCGCAUGGUGGUGUGUGGAAAGGGUUUUACUGGUUUUGGAUGGGCUCACGGCCUAUCAGCUUGUUGGUGGGGUAAUGGCUCACCAAGGCGACGACGGGUAGCCGGCCUGAGAGGGUGACCCGCCACACUGGGACUGAGACCCGGCCCAGACUCCUACGGGAGGCAGCAGUGGGGAAUAUUGCACAAUGGGCGGAAGCCUGAUGCAGCGACGCCGCGUGAGGGAUGACGGCCUUCGGGUUGUAAACCUCUUUCAGCACGGAAGAAGCGAAAGUGACGGUACGUGCAGAAGAAGCGCCGGCUAACUACGUG